UCUGUAUUUAGUUUGAUUAGGCAUAGAUUUGCGCAUUUUUAUUUUAUUUUGCUUGGUGACUUACUUUGUUCUGUCUGUUACUACUUUGAACCACUUAAAUCCUACUGUCUGUAUUUAAUAAAAUCACUUUCUAUUUAGUAAUUUACUCAGCGUAUGUAUUAAUACCUGGGGGAGCAAACAACUGUGCAUAUCUCUCUAUCAGUGUUAUAGAGGGCGAACAAUUUAUGAGUUUGCCCUGCAUAAGCUUUAUACAGGGCAAAACGAAUUUAUUUGGGUUUAGACCCCACUGGAAGUUGGGCAUCUGAGUGCUAAAGACAAGCGCACUUCUGUACGCUGUUUUCAGGUAACUUGCAGCUUUGGGACAAGUGAUUCAGACCCUGGAUCUGUGUCUGGAGCCAAACGGGAGUGUCUGGCUCAGCAAGACGGGGUGCUGGAGUCCUGAGCUGGCAGGUAAAACAGGAGCAGGGGUAGUCUUGGCACGUCUGGUGGCAGCUCCCAAGGGGGUUUCUGUGAUCUAACCCGUCACAGUGUGUACCUGCACAGGGACCCAAAGGGGAUUAAUAACCCCAAUUACACCUCUGCAUGCCCGUUCACUACACUCCAGGCGCAGAUUUCUUUCUACAGUGACUGGAUCUGAUCUUGCUACUGUCCUCCAGCAAAGUGAGGAACUUUUUCCAACAUGGGCUUAAGGGUAGAGAGACUCUUACGCAAAGGAAUAUAAGGACUGCCAUACCAGAUGGGGCCCAAUGGUGAUUACUGACAUAUCAUCCGCCUGUACAACCAAUUUUCCAGAGGGGAAUGACAGAACUGCAUCAAGAAUGAAAGAAGAAGUUGUAUAUACUGAAGGUUGUGUAAACCAGAAAUACCUACUCUGUUUGAGAUGUUGGAUAGAUGCAUAUGGUAGACAGUAAGUGCAGAGAAGGUAAGACCUGCCAGUAUAGGUUACUGAGCUGGAUGGAUUUUUAGUAGAAGU
rnacentral:lncRNA from 1 species